AAAGGGAAGAGCCCAGCGCCGAAUCCCCGGCCCCUCGGUCGCGGGAAAUGUGGCGUUUGGGAGCGAGCGUGCCGGGUUCGGAGGCGGCGGCAAGUCCCCCUGACCGGGGCCUGUCCGAAGCGGGUGCGAGGCCCGUGGCCGCCACCCCCGUCCCGGAUGCGACCUCCCGGGAGUCGGGUUGCUUGGGAGUGCAGCCCUAAGCGGGUGGUAAACUCCACCUAAGGCUAAAUACCGCCGUGAGACCGAUAGCAAACAAGUACCGUGAGGGAAAGUUGCAAAGAACUUUGAAGAGAGAGUUCAAGAGUACGUGAAACUGCUCAGAGGUAAACGGGUGGGCCCUCGAAAUCCCGUGGCGGGAGGAUUCAGUCUGGCUCGGCGGGCUCCGCUGCGGAAAGCAAGGAAGGGCUUCCCGCGAGUCGGGGCCGUUCGCGGCGGAGGACCCCGUCGUUCCAGACGCAUUUGGCUCCCGUCCGAAGGACGCUGCAGCCGGUCUGGCAGCGCAAGCGUGACGGCCUGGAGGUCGGGAGAUGGCAGGUGGCCGGCGGCCCGCCUCGUGCGGGCCGCCUGUUGUUAGCCGUCCCGUCGGUGGCACGUCGCCAGACCGUGGUGUCGCGAGUCCCCUCGGGGACUCCACGUCUCCACCCCAAGGUUCGCGGGACGGACCGCGUCAGGUGUCGUCCGUGCUCCCGUCGCACUCCUCCGGAGUGGUCGGAGGCUCGGAGGGCUCCGCUCGGCGCGGCGGGCCCGUCGGGGGUUCCGGAGGCUGGCAGCGAGUAGGUCGGUCACCCACCCGACCCGUCUUGAAACACGGACCAAGGAGUCCAACAUGCGCGCGAGUCAAUGGGUCUUGUUCAGGCCCAGGGGCGCAAUGAAAGCGAAAGGCGGCCGAGCGCCGCCCUAGUCGGGAUCCCCCCUCGCGGGGGGCGCACCGACGACCCGCCCCGUCCGGCUCGUCCGGUGGGGCGGAGUCAGAGCGCACACGUUGGGACCCGAAAGAUGGUGAACUAUGCCCGGACAGGACGAGGCCAGAGGAAACUCUGGU
rnacentral:rRNA from 1 species